GAUGAACGCUAGCUACAGGCUUAACACAUGCAAGUCGAGGGGUAACGAGAGGAAAGCUUGCUUUCCUUGUCGACGACCGGCGCACGGGUGAGUAACGCGUAUCCAACCUGCCCCCAACUAGGGAAUAACCUUGCGAAAGUAAGACUAAUACCCUAUAAUUUCCUCAGAAGUCAUCUGACAAGGAAUAAAGAUUUAUCGGUUGUGGAUGGGGAUGCGUCUGAUUAGCUUGUUGGCGGGGUAACGGCCCACCAAGGCAACGAUCAGUAGGGGUUCUGAGAGGAAGGUCCCCCACAUUGGAACUGAGACACGGUCCAAACUCCUACGGGAGGCAGCAGUGAGGAAUAUUGGUCAAUGGGCGGAAGCCUGAACCAGCCAAGUAGCGUGCAGGAUGACGGCCCUAUGGGUUGUAAACUGCUUUUAUACAGGAAUAAAGUUAGCCACGUGUGGUUAUUUGUAGGUACUGUAUGGAUAAGGACCGGCUAAUUCCGUGCCAGCAGCCGCAGUAA
rnacentral:rRNA from 1 species